rnacentral:rRNA from 1 species
GUCUACGUAUGAGAAUCCAGGGAAGAGUAGCAGCAUAGUGCGGUGAGAAUCCGCACCACCGAAGGGGCCAGGGUUCCUCGGCACUGUUUAUCAGCCGAGGGUUAGCCGGUCCUAAGGACAUUCUUAACCGAGAUGUUCGAAAGGGAAAUGCGUUAAUAUUCGUAUGCCCCUCUGCAAUAUGGUGACGGCUCGGGCUAGUUCGUGCACUCCUGUCAUGGGGUGUCGAAGCGUUCGAUAAUCGAUCGGAGAACCGUAACGGUGAGAAGAUCGAGAAGGCGUGAGCAAAAGACGAAUGAGGCCAGGGUCCCGUGAAAAGCCGCAGAGGUGACCGUACCGAGAACUGACACAGGUGCCCCUGGGUGAGUAGCCUAAGGUGUGACGGAAAAACAACCGCGAGGGAACUCGGCAAAAUCGCCCCGUAACUUCGGGAGAAGGGGUGCCAGCCUUGAGAAAGGCUGGUCGCAGUGACUAGGGGACUCCGACUGUUUAAUAAAAACAUAGGUGACUGCCAGUCCGAAAGGAUGUGUAUAGUCGCUGAAUCCUGCUCAGUGCCGGUAUCUGAAACCAGGGUCCAACCUGGCGAAGGACCGGUAAACAGCGGGGGCAACUAUGACCCUCUUAAGGUAGCGUAAUACCUUGUCGCUUAAUUGGCGACUUGCAUGAAUGGUCCAACGAGGGACCCACUGUCCCCGCGAUAUGUCCGGCGAAAUUGACUUUACUGGCGCACAGUCCAGUACCCUCAACCUGCAAGCGAAGACCCCGUAGAGCUUUACUGCAGCCUGGCGUUGUAUAAUCGCACUUCACGUGCUGAGUAGACGGGAGACGUUGAUCCACGGGACGCCAGUCCCGUGAGUAGUCGUCCAUAGAGACACCGUCCUUGGAGUGUAAUUGUACUCACUCUUCAUGAGAACACCGCUUGGUGGGCAGUUUGGGUGGGGCGCCACUCCCUCGAAAAAAUAACAAGGGAGCUCAAAGGUCAGCUUAGGUAGGUCAGAAAUCUACCGUAAAGUGCAAGGGCAAAAGCUGGCUUGACGUGGUUCGGAACAAUAACGAUCCACGAUGAGAAAUCAGGGCCUAACGAACCAACCAGCCUCAUUUCUGGGGGCGGUUGAUAACAGAAAAGUUACCUCGGGGAUAAUUGAGUUGUCACCAGCAAGAGCUCACAUCGACCUGGUGGCUUGCUACUUCGAUGUCGUCUCUUCCUAUCCUGGGUCUGCAGCAGGACCCAAGGGUGGGGUUGUUCGCCCAUUAAAAGGGAUCGUGAGAUGGGUUUAGACCGUCGUGAGACAGGUUUGUUGCUAUGUGCUGGGACUGUCCAAUACCUGAGGGGAAGGAUCCUCUAGUACGAGAGGAACGAGGGUUCGCAGCCACUAGUUUACCAGUUGUCUGACAAGGCACUGCUGGGCAGCCACGCUGUAAGGGAUAAGAGCUGAAAGCAUCUAAGCUCGAAACCCACCUCGAGACGAGGCACUUUGACGCCCGUAGAAGACGGGAUGAUAGGACCGGGGUGUACGCACCGAGAGUUAUAGUGGCGCCAGAAACCGCUUCGGCGGCGGAAGGUACCACUUCGAGGUGUUCAGC